rnacentral:rRNA from 1 species
GAUGAACGCUGGCGGCGUGCCUAAUACAUGCAAGUCGAGCGAAAAGACGAGGAGCUUGCUCCUUCGACGUUAGCGGCGGACGGGUGAGUAACACGUAGGUAACCUACCUAUAAGACUGGGAUAACUUCGGGAAACCGGCGCUAAUCCCGGAUAAUCUUUCGCACCGCAUGGUUCGAUAGUGAAAGACGGCUUUGCUGUCUCUUAUCGAUGGACCUGCGCCGUAUUAGCUAGUUGGUAAGGUAACGGCUUACCAAGGCAACGAUACGUAGCCGACCUGAGAGGGUGAUCGGCCACACUGGAACUGAGACACGGUCCAGACUCCUGCGGGAGGCAGCAGUAGGGAAUCUUCCGCAAUGGGCGAAAGCCUGACGGAGCAACGCCGCGUGAGGGAUGAAGGUCUUCGGAUCGUAAAACUCUGUUAUUAGGGAAGAACAAACGUGUAAGUAACUGUGCACUUCUUGACGGUACCGAAUCAGAAAGCCACGGCUAACUACGUG